rnacentral:rRNA from 1 species
UACAGAGGUCUCAAGCGUUGUUCGGAUUCAUUGGGCGUAAAGGGUGCGUAGGCGGCGCGGUAAGUCGGGUGUGAAAUCUCGGAGCUUAACUCCGAAACUGCAUUCGAUACUGCCGUGCUUGAGGACUGGAGAGGAGACUGGAAUUUACGGUGUAGCGGUGAAAUGCGUAGAUAUCGUAAGGAAGACCAGUGGCAAAGGCGGGUCUCUGGACAGUUCCUGACGCUGAGGCACGAAGGUCAGGGGAGCAAACAGG